AUGAGGAGAACACGACACUCACAGAAUUGGGCGAAAUACCCAACUGUACUUACACAUGAUCAACGACGCCGACACAAACACGUCGAACGACGCCGACGCAAAUCAAGAUAUGUACGCAGCUUUAAAUUGCAACCCCCUCGAGUCUUACCGUGCCGUCACGUCACGCGGCAAGGCGUAUACAUACAUGAUACUCACCCCUCCAAAAAUAUCUCCGGAACCCAACGACCAAACCGAGAAGUCGGCGCUCCACGACGUACGCGCGCUCCGGUAAAGAUGUGCUUCAUCCCGAACUCACCGCGGGCGAUGACCCUCGACGUUGUUGGCGGGAAAGAAUCGGCACCCGUGAUGAUUGGGUCACUGGCGACGCCCUUCGCCUUCUUGCCGGAGGUCUCGACAACCAUACCGGCGCUGGUGGCGAACGGGCGGUGGAUGUUGCCGGCAUUGAUGUCGCUGCCGGGUAACGUGGUGGUGCGGCCAGUGUGGGCGCACAAUCUGCAGGACGAGGUGGAGCUAAUCGAGUCGCUCCUGCCACGCUUCCGGUACGCCGCAGUCGACACGGAAUUCCCGGGGACGGUGUACCGGCCCAAGGUGCCGGCGUACGCACUCACGGAGGAGAAGAAGUACGCCCUGCUCAAGGCGAACGUCGACGGGCUGCACCUGAUCCAACUAGGCCUCACUCUGUUCGACGCGGCGGGCCGGCUCCCGGACCUUGGCACCGGCGGCGCCGUGCAGUACGUGUGGGAGUUCAACUUUCGCGAAUUCGACGUCCGGCGCCACCGCUAUGCACCCGAAUCAAUUGAGCUGCUGCGGGUCAAGGGCGUGGACUUCGACCGGACACGCCGGGAGGGAAUCGACGGGGCGGCGUUGGGCCCGCGGCUGCGCAAGCUGCUGCGCGGUGGCCUUGGCGAUGCCGGGGUGAUCACGUUCAGCGGCACCUACGACCUGGCGUACCUCGUCAAGCUGAUGCUAGGCCGCGGGUACAAGCUGCCCGUCACGCCGGCGCAGUUCGAGAGCGUCGUGAAGGCCAUGGUCCGCAAGAGGCUGUACGACGUUAAAGAGAUGGCGCGUCGCUGCCCUGGCGACGUCGACCUCCGCGGCGGGCUGGACCGCGUGGCCGGGAAACUGGACGUGAGGCGGGCCGUCGGUGAGGCGCACCAGGCCGGUUCCGAUAGCCUGCUCACGUGCCAGGCGUUCAUGAAGAUACGGGAGCGCUACUUCGUCGACGAUCACGAGCUGACGACCCUCGCUGGCGUGGUGGCCGGCGUCACCGUGUGCUGA
rnacentral:rRNA from 1 species